rnacentral:rRNA from 1 species
CAAUAGCGUAUAUUAAAGCUGUUGACGGUUAAAAAGCUCGUAGUUGGACUUCUGCUGAGGACGACUGGUCUGCCCUCUGGGUGAGUAUCUGGUUCGGCCGAAGCAUCUUCUUGGAGGUUGCAAGCGCACUUCAUUGUGUGGUGCAACCGACUGGAAUUUUACUUUGAGGAAAUUUAGAGUGUUUCAAGCAGGCAUACGCCUUGAAAACGUUAGCAUGGAAUAAUAAGAUAGGGUCACUUCUCUAUUUUGUUGGUUUCUAGAAUCGUGACAAUGAUUAAUAGGGAUAGUCGGGGGUAUUUGUAUUCAACUGUCAGAGGUGAAAUUCUUGGAUUUGUUGAAGACAGACUACUGCGAAAGCAUUUACCAAGGAUGUUUUCAUUGAUCAAGAACGAAAGUUAGGGGAUCGAAGACGAUCAGAUACCAU